rnacentral:tRNA from 1 species
UCCCGAGUAGCUCAGUGGUAGAGCGGACGGCUGUUAACCGUUUGGUCGUAGGUUCGAGUCCUACCUCGGGAGCCA